rnacentral:lncRNA from 1 species
CUCAAGUCUCGGGCCGUUCUAGGGGAGCCGCGUGGUCUUUGCUGCUGGGGACGCUGGAACCACGCGGCGUGCCCCUGCCGGCGCCGGCCGCGGUCUUGCCGCCCUCAGUGAGGUGGAAGCCGACGUGAGAAAAGCAGAGAUGGUGGAUGGAAGCAAAGAGACUGGGUCUUGACGGUGUUGACUAACCGUAUGGGUCCGGCUGGACCUCAGUCGGCCUCUCAGUUAAAGUCGCCACAGCGAAUUCUCUUUUUUGUCUCAACCAGUCGGAUUUUCUGGCACUUGCAUCCGGAAGAACCCUGGUUAGUAGAGCUGAAAGCAAGUGUGCAGAAUGGCUCUGCCUUCGGGGUGUGCCGGCUGUGGCUAAGUCUGGGGACAUCACGUGCUGACGCUGUGGGCCCGGGGAGACCCCUGUCCUGCCCACCCAAUUCACAGGUGGAGAAACGGAGGCCCAGGAACGGGGGGGGGGGGGACUCCCGGAAUGGCUCGAACGCCCAGGCUCAGCGACUUCAGGGUGUCCACAGAGCUUUGCGCCAGGUGCUGUGGGGAACCAAGCGCCCUUGACCCCUGGGGAAGGGUUUCAGAGCCUGGCGGUGGGCCGCUUUGUCUGGCCUUUGAUGACGGAUAUGACAGCGGUACACGAAGCGCCCCGGUGCAGGAAGCUGAGGACAGAGCUCAGAGUUGUGUCAAAACAAAAUCUGCGCGUUGGGUACAUCUGUAUUUUGUUCUGGGUCACUGGCUGCCGUCUGCUGUCUGCCACGGAAGAAGGUUGAAUCUCCUAGGAGACUCUUGCUUGCCGAGCUCACGUCAGCUUCGUGAAGAGCCCAGCUUUGGGGUCAGCCUUGAUUCUGAGCCCUGCCCUCCCACCCGUCCUGCUGUGCUGUCCGGGCCAGUCCAGCCCACUUCCUUGUGUCUCCACCUGCACCGCGGACAGAGGAACCCCACUGUGCCGAGCUCCCGGAGGGCCAACCAGACGGCGGGCUCUGGCACCAGCUUCUUGCCGAGUUCAGUUCCCGCACCGACACCCGUUAGCCGUCUGAGCCGCCAGGCCCUUGUCUGUCACCUGAGCGCCGGCUCCCGGAGCUGCCCUGUCCCGUCCCGGGGUGAAAAGGGCUCAGGGCCCCCACCUGGCUUUCCCGGGGGACUCACUCCUUCCCCGCCCAAGACCACUCGCCAUCCAAACCCUCAUCCCCUAAAUUGCUUCAUGAGACCACCAUCCAGGCGAGGCCCCUCACCCACGAACCUGGGUGUCCUCUUAAACGGGGUGGUGGAGUGCCUUCCGGACACAGGGACCGGGUCGUGGAUCAGAGCACAGAGACCCAGAUGGCAUCAGAUCGUAAGCGCGUGGCUGAAUUGUUUGGG